rnacentral:rRNA from 1 species
AGAAAAGUCUCUAUCGAGGUUAAAGGUACCCGUACCGCAAACCGACACAGGUGGGUGAGGAGAGUAUCCUAAGGCCCGCGAGAGAACUGUUGUUAAGGAACUCGGCAAAAUGACCCCGUAACUUAGGGCUAAGGGGUGCCACCAUCCGGUGGCCGCAGAGAAUAGGCCCAAGCGACUGUUUACCAAAAACAUAGGUUUCUGCUAAGUCGCAAGACGAUGUAUAGGAGCUGACGCCUGCCCGGUGCUGGAAGGUUAAGGGGAUCUGUUAGAGCAA